AGUCCAGAAAAAUUAGGGAAGGGGGAGUGGAGGGAGCCGGUGAGGAAGAAAGCGGAAGCGGCGGCGGAGGAAACAGCGACGGUGGUGGAUAUGGUUUUAAGAAGGGAGGAAUUGAAGGAAUCGUUGUUGUCGCCGGAAGAAGGAGAAAGGUGACAUUUCAAGGAAGAAGUACGAGUGGUGAUAUGGUCGUUGCGGCGACGAGACGGAUGGGUUGUUAGGGUUGGAGUUAAGCGAUUGGGAAUAACGGAAGUACGCAUUGUAGAGAUUAGGUCGCUGUAGAGUGAAGAAAAAAAGGAAGAAGGAUAAACCACACUGGGGUUUUGUUUUGUUUUGUUUUUAUUUAAUUUUUCUCCUAUUUUGUUCUAUGCUUUUGGCGUUUCAUUUUUACCAUUGUACUACAGUACAAUAACAUGCAUUAAUUACGAAUUCCAAUGCCGCCUCACACCCCAAAGAUCCGAAUCAAUACUAAUUGAAUCUUCGGCAAUAGGAAUUUUGACGCAUUCAUGCUAUUAAGAUGUUACUAACCCUUUGAUCUUGAUAAUACGGUUUAGAGAAAACAAGUUUGAUAUCUUAGGGACUUAUAAAGGAGACUUCAUUAAAGGAAUAAGUGUACAGUUUAUUUUAAGACAGAGUAACACAAGAUCAAAGAAAUCUUAUACUAUGUCUAUUCUAAUAUUUGGGGUCUAUAAAAGAGUCAUUUGUUAAAAGUUUUAGAUUGAGUUUAUUUUGUGAAAUAUAAAUUUUACGUCUUUGUCAAAUUCAAAUUGUGGAAGACAGAGGUUAAGAAUCAGACAAGGAGAAAAAUAAAGUAUUAGAGAUCUGAUAAUGGAAUUGAACACAUGCACAAGAAGUUCAUGCAUUUUUGUGAGGAAAAUGGAAUUCGAAGGUAUUUUUUUGUGAGGAAGACACCACAAAAGAAUGGUAUUGCAGAAAGGAUGAACAUGACUCUGACGAAGAAGGCAAGGUGCCUUCAGUUGAAUGUUGGUCUUUCAAAAGGUUUAUGGGCAGAAGCAUUCAAUAUGGUAUGAUAUCUAGUCAACAUAUCAUCAUUGGAUAGCAAAAUUGCAUAGGAGGUGUGGAUAGGGAUCUGUGUAAUUUAAGGAUUUUUUAGUGUUCAGCAUAUGUACAUAUUUCCAGUGGGGAUCGGUCUAAACUUGACCCCAAGUCAAAAAUAGUGCAUCUUUAUUGGCUACAAUAAAGGUGUGAAAGGGUGCAAGUUGUGGGAUCCAGUUAAGAGAAAGGUGGUUGUUAGCAAAGAUGUUUUAUUUGAUGAGCAAUUGAUGUUAAAAUAGUCAUAUAUGACACUUGUGUCAGAUACUGGGGUAGAAAUUCCAGGCAUGAUAAGAUUCAGGUGGACAUUGAGGAGCCAUCAAUGAGUCCAAUGCAGAUUGUAAUCCAACAGUAAGAUGAACCAGGCUCAUAUUCAGGUGGAGUGCAAGAUUCAUACGGAGUACAAGAUUAUACACUUGUACGUGAUAUGGAGUUGCAUCGUAUUACACCUCUAUUAAGAUAUGGGUUUGAAGACUUAGAAAUAUAUGUUUUUCUUACUAGUUCAGAAGACCCUUCUACUUUUCGAGAGGUUAUGGCUAGUCGAGAGAAAGAUAAGUGGAUGGUGUUAUGGUGGAUGAGAUGGAAUCCUUGAAAAAGAAUGAGACAUAGGAUAUUGUUCAGCUGCCAUAGAGAAAUAGAGUUAUUGGUUGCAAGUGGAUGUACAAGAAAAAACCAACAAUAACAGAAAAAUAAGGGGAAAAGUUUAAGGUUCACCUAGUUGCAAAGGGGUAUUCACAGCAUAAUGGGAUUGAUUAUGAUGAAAUUUUGAGUCUGGUGGUUAGACACACUUCUA
rnacentral:lncRNA from 1 species